AGAGUUUGAUCCUGGCUCAGAUUGAACGCUGGCGGCGUGCUUAACACAUGCAAGUCGAACGAGAAAGGGACUUCGGUCCUGAGUAGAGUGGCGCACGGGUGAGUAACGCGUAGGUAAUCUACCUCUGCAUCUGGGAUAACACUUCGAAAGGGGUGCUAAUACCGGAUACACUUAUGGAUCGCAAGAUUUAUAAGGAAAGGAGACCUCUCCUUGGAAGUUUCUGUGUAGAGAUGAGCCUGCGUCCCAUUAGCUAGUUGGCAGGGUAAGAGCCUACCAAGGCGACGAUGGGUAGCGGGUCUGAGAGGAUGAUCCGCCACACUGGAACUGAAACACGGACCAGACUCCUACGGGAGGCAGCAGUGAGGAAUAUUGGACAAUGGGCGAAAGCCUGAUCCAGCGACGCCGCGUGAGUGAUGAAGGCCUUGGGUCGUAAAGCUCUGUCAGCAGGGAAGAAUGGCCGAGCGGUUAAUACCCGUUCGGAUUGACGGUACCUGCAGAGGAAGCACCGGCUAACUCCGUGCCAGCAGCCGCGGUAA
rnacentral:rRNA from 1 species